GCACAAUACUUUUAAUAUCAAGAUCAUCGUACAGUACUAUCAUACAUCAUAUGCGGGGAACCGGAUAUAUUGCGUUAAUUUUUCACACGUUUUACGCAUAUAUAUGAUUUUAAUCUUGAGACAAUGACAGAUACAGACAUGUCUCUGUGUUACGUAUGGUUAAACAACGUUAUUACAUAUAUCUCAAAUCACGGGGGGAGGGCAAAACGAGAAAUGAAUCAUUGAUUUGUCAGGAAAGAAAUCGAUCGUACUUUACGUCAACAUGAUUUAAACAAAGUGAAUAUAAAUCUCCGCAUAUGUAGUACAUCGUCCUGCUUUCACAAAUUUCACACAUUCGUAAACAUCUGGGUAACGCUGUUUUCGCAGUAAAAAUAAAUAUAAAAUAUUUUUUUCUCUAUAAUAUUAAUAUAACAAUUAAGAUACAGCGUAUCCGAUAUUUAAGCGAAUCAUCGCUUUAUAUUAAUCUUUAUCGUAUAGAUACAUCGCUCGUUCACAAGCAUAUAUAGUCGUUUCAUAGAUUCUCUUCUACAAAUUUUUCUAUUAUGUCCUGGUUUGCAUGCAAUCAAAUUAUAAUUGGCUAAUAGAACGAUUAGCGAGAAAAUUCGGCGCACACUUAUGCAUGUGCAUGCAGAAAGGUUUAUGGUUACGGUUGGGACCUUCCGUGUUAAGGGUUCCAUGUCGCAGGAUGUGAGCGUUAGCGAGGAAUCGCCAAAGAAGGAAAAGAAGAAGAAGAAGGGCCUUAGGACGCCUUCUUUCCUUAAAAAGAAGAAAGAAAAGAAGAAGUCGGUCGAGGCGUAGGUAGUUAUAACUCAGACACUGCCACAAGCAAAAGCUUAUCGUAAAUAAUAAAACGAAAAUACAAGUUUAAACUCAAGAUCGAAGCGAAUUCGGUUUAAAAUAAAGGACGAAAUAUUCGACGAAUAACGAAGCACAGACGAAUGGCGGAAGAAUGAAAAAAAGGAGAAGGAAGGAGGAUAUGCGAAAAAUCGAAGCGGAUGAGCAACAAUCACAGCAUCUUUCCAGGACUCAAGACUGCCAUCGCAUUACGUCUACGAUAAGGAAACUAUAUUGUACUGUUAAUGUUUUUACGUUUUUAAUUUGUUAAGCGUCGCGCGCUAAUGUAUUUAAUCCGCUAUUUAAUUUUGCCUCUCCUAUCCCGUUUGUGUGUAACGCAAUAAAGAGUUACAUAUGCAUACUUUGCGACGAAGACAGAUAGAGAGGCGUCA